rnacentral:rRNA from 1 species
UAGCUUGCUGGGGGGAUUAGUGGCGAACGGGUGAGUAACACGUGAGUAACCUGCCCUUGACUCUGGGAUAAGCCUGGGAAACUGGGUCUAAUACUGGAUACGACCUUCUGGCGCAUGCCAUGUGGGUGGAAAGCUUUUGUGGUUUUGGAUGGACUCGCGGCCUAUCAGCUUGUUGGUGGGGUAAUGGCCUACCAAGGCGACGACGGGUAGCCGGCCUGAGAGGGUGGACGGCCACACUGGGACUGAGACACGGCCCAGACUCCUACGGGAGGCAGCAGUGGGGAAUAUUGCACAAUGGGCGCAAGCCUGAUGCAGCGACGCCGCGUGAGGGAUGAAGGCCUUCGGGUUGUAAACCUCUUUCAGUAGGGAAGAAGCGAAAGUGACGGUACCUGCAGAAGAAGCGCCGGCUAACUACGUGCCAGCAGCCGCGGUAAUACGUAGGGCGCAAGCGUUAUCCGGAAUUAUUGGGCGUAAAGAGCUCGUAGGCGGUUUGUCGCGUCUGCCGUGAAAGUCCGGGGCUUAACUCCGGAUCUGCGGUGGGUACGGGCAGACUUGAGUGAUGUAGGGGAGACUGGAAUUCCUGGUGUAGCGGUGAAAUGCGCAGAUAUCAGGAGGAACACCGAUGGCGAAGGCAGGUCUCUGGGCAUUAACUGACGCUGAGGAGCGAAAGCAUGGGGAGCGAACAGGAUUAGAUACCCUGGUAGUCCAUGCCGUAAACGUUGGGCACUAG